UACGACUAGUAGUAUCAGCGAUUGAAUUACAAAUCGUCUUACCAGUUAUACCACCGUCUCGCCGACCAACUCGAUGAAGCGUUCCUCUGCUGCUUCUCUUCAAUUCCUCACCUCUGCUUCUUCAAUGUCUUCUCGCUCUUCUUAUCGAGGUGGAAGAAAUCAAUGGAGAAGAGGCUUCUCCGACCGUCCUCAGUACAGCAGCGGCGGAAGAGGUCCUCAAUUAGUGACCGGAGACUCGCAUUUCCGUUCAGUCCAGGAAACCAAUUCAGGUAUCCGUCAAGCAGCAGGACCUCAACCUUACAAUCAAAGCCAGCACCGUCCUCAGCCUCCGCGUUACUAUCCAAAUCCACAUUUCCGGCGACCACCGUUUGAUCAGAGUCAAGGGUUUCAACGUCCACGUCCUCCAAAGGCAUCGGAUUAUCGUGAUUGGCAGUAUUCAAAAACGGCACCGCGUCCUAAUUCAGAGAACUUUAUUGUACUUUCGUAUAAUAUAUUGGCUGAUUAUCUUGCCAUUAACCAUUGGCGUAAGCUUUACUUUCACAUACCUCGCCAUAUGUUAGAUUGGGAAUGGAGAAUGAGAAGUAUACUUUUUGAGCUUCGCUUAUGGUCAGCUGAUAUAAUGUGCUUUCAGGAGGUUGAUAGAUUUCAGGAUCUGGCAGACCAAUUAAAGCCACGGGGAUAUAGUGGCAUUUGGAAGAUGAGAACUGGCAAUGCAGUAGAUGGUUGUGCAAUCUUUUGGAGAACAUCAAGAUUCAAGUUGCUCCAUGAAGAAUCUAUUGAGUUCAAUAAGCUUGGACUUCGGGAUAAUGUUGCUCAGAUAUGUGUGCUAGAGCAGUUAAUGAGUAAUAAUUGCACUUCAAACACAUCAGCUCUGCCUACAAGUUCAGCAGGUUCUGAUAAAGUUAUCAUGUGUAACAUUCAUGUGCUUUACAAUCCUAAAAGGGGAGAAAUUAAGCUUGGUCAGGUCAGAAUGCUCCUGGAUAGGGCAUAUGCGGUUUCAAAAAUGUGGAAUGCACCGAUUGUUCUUUGUGGGGAUUUUAACUGUACUCCAAAGAGUCCAUUAUACAACUUUAUUUCAGAACAGAAGUUAGAUUUGUCUGGGAUUGAUCGAGAUAAGGUAUCAGGACAAGCUUCUUCUGAAAUACGUGCUCCAAGGCAGAACAACCCAAAUUAUAUUCCUAAUCCUAAUGCCAAUCCCAGGAUUCUUUCUUCUGAUAACUCAAGUCAAACUCCUCUUGUUAUAAAUAACAAAUUGGACGAUUCUCUGUCAGACAUGCAGAAGCAGAAUAUCCCAAAUGAUGAUAGUAUUCCUUCUGUUAACAACUGCUCUGCGCCUCAAGUUAUGAGAACUAUGCUAGCUGUGUCUGAUGCAUCAUGUGCAGUUCUACAUAGUGGGAGUAUCAAAGAGACAAAAGAAAUGCUGGAGGAUGUGAUUGACGGUUGCAAGGAAGGCACUGAAUCAACCAUCUCAGUUUUGAUUAAUCGCUUUGAGGAAAAUCUAACUACAUCUCACCGUGAGAAUGAGAGUGACCUGAUUCAUAAGUCAACUCCUACAGGAACUUCCCAUAGUGAAGAAACAUAUCCUGAUAAGAAUGAGAUGGAAUGGACAAAAUCUGCUUGUCCUUCUAAUCAAGUAUUCUGUUGUGAAAAUUCCCCCUCCAACAUUUGCAAAGAAAAUAAAGACAUAAACAUCGACAAUCUUGCACAAUCUCUUGAAGUAUCUCCUUUGCCGAGUUCCGGAUAUCUGUCAUCCCAUCCAAUUGCUAAUGAUGAGAAUAGUGAUCUUUUGACAGCAUGUCAAGCCAAUAUCUCAAGUGGGUCUACAGGCCUUUACUAUGAAGGAGAAGAGAAACUGGAGGAUGCAUCUCCUGGGGAGGUAAAUGACUUCCAACUGGAACAUGGAAUGGUAGGUGAAGAUCAGAAUACAUUUUUAUCUGCACUACAUGACAAAGAAGAUUCCUUUCAAACUGACUUUGGCCAAAUCACACAAUCAGAUUUGGCUCACUUCCAGAGUGACUGUAUCUCUGUUCCAAUUGACCCUCAGGUGCAUUCACAUGGUAAUGAAGUUCUUGAUGGUGUUUCUCUGGACCUGGAUUCUGAGUCUGUCACUGUAGACAAAACUGCAUAUAAUCCAUCAUUGUGGACUCCAAUGGAAGUAGCAACUGCCACUGGCAAUGCAGACUGCACCUUUUUGGAACAUCCUUUGAAGCUUAAGAGUGCAUAUGCAGAAGUUGAGGACUGUUCAGGGACAAGAGACCCAAACGGAGAACCCUUGGUCACCAGCUACAAUAGGUGUUUCUUAGGCACAGUUGAUUAUAUAUGGAAAUCUGAAGGUCUCCAGACGAUCAGGGUGCUUGCUCCAAUACCAAAACAUGCUAUGCAAUGGACACCGGGAUUUCCAACAAAGAAAUGGGGUAGUGAUCAUAUUGCCUUGGCUUCUGAAUUGGCAUUCACAAAAGAUGCAACAGAUAAUCAGUUGGAAGUCCACUAUGCCAGGGAUUGACCCUUGUGUUUUGCAAUCAGAAGCAGCUGCAGAUUACUUCUCAGCCUUAGGUUCGUCCCUCAAUAUGUGCAAACUAUAGGUUGCCUUACAAUUUGGUACUGGUAUUCCAACAGUUUUAGGUUAGUGGUUACUUACCCAGGAGGAAAGGAUUAUCAAAAUAGCUAUUCAUCAGGCUGAGACUACUGGACAGUGAACUUUCGUAUUAGCAAGUGUCCUCGAGAAGAUUACAAUAACAGUUUCAGCCACGCAUAGCAAUGGGCUAUUAGGCAAUAGUCUCAGCUUUAGCUUAAUAUCGUCAGGGCCUAAUUAGGUGGACCAGUUUGCUCUGAGGUGGCUCAUUUUGAUACAGAAACUAAAGUUUGAGUUAAGUGACGGGAAACCGGUGCUGGCCUUGGCAAACACAUUAAUACUUAUAGGGGAUGGUCCACACUCUGGUUUGGAUCUGUGUUAGUGGUUAAAUUUUCCACUGUAGUAUCUAAUGAAUUGAACGCAACUGAUCAAUUUAAUGCAUGCAAUUGAUCCAAUUGAUAUAAAAAUGAUAGCAACCAGAAGCAAGAGCAAGUAACUAUCAAGCAAGAAGCUGUACACAAGUUCACAUAAGCAGAAGCAAGUCUAAUAUCUUUAAAAGAGAUUUGUGUUUCAAGUCUGAACUCAUUAUAGCUUAUUCAAAAUCCACCAGCAUAUUGCAACUUUCAUAAAUUCAGUCAAUUUUUUUGUCUUAAAUUGACAGUUGACAAUUGUAGCUAACAUAUAUUCAAGCCUUUGAAAAAUAAGAUAUAAAAAAGCA